CCCUGCCAUUUGUACACACCGCCCGUCGCUCCUACCGAUUGAAUGGUCCGAUGAGCAUUGUGAAGCGAGACCAAAGGACGGUCCGCCGUCCGUUGGUUCUUACGAAGCUCUGCAAAUCUUAUCAUUUA
rnacentral:rRNA from 1 species